GAAAAGUUCAUUAAAAGCAUUAAGCUCCCAAUUAUCCGGGCAUAUUGAGACCUCGAAAUAGGUUAUCCUAUAUUUUUCUUUAAUUAAGAGUUAACAUCAUAAGAGAUGUCUACUGAUUUAAAGUCAUAUAAUAGCUAAACUUCCUAAAAAAAAUUCAAUAUAUUGUUCUUGGAAUAGUAAUAUAUUAUUUUCCUUCCUCGUGACUCUAACUCCUAAAAUCACAUUUGUUUCACCCAUAUCUUUCAUUUAAAACCUCGACCCAAAAAAACUUUUUGUUUUAAAAACUAUAUUAUCGCUUGUACCAAAACUAUAUAUAAUAAAUUUAAGUUCACUUCUUAAAAAUUGUAGUUAAAUUUAAAAGCUUAUUUAUCAAAAUAACUUGGAUCAAUUAUGAAUUGUUGAUUUCUUUUCUACAGAAUAUGCUUAUAGGAGCAACGGACACAACUUCUGCUACAACGGUCUGGGCUAUGACCGCACUGCUAAAAAAUCCAAGAGUAAUGAAGAAAGUUCAAGAAGAACUUAGGAAUUUGGGGAAUGAAAAGGAUUUUCUACAUGAAGAUGAUAUUCAAAAGCUUCCCUAUUUAAAGGCUGUGAUAAAAGAGACACUGAGACUGCACCUACCAGCACCCCUACUUGUGCAAAGGGAAACAAAUGAACCAUGUAUUUUAGAGGGCUAUGAAAUUCCAGCCAAGACAAUAGUGUAUGUGAAUGCUUGGGCUAUCCAUAGAGACCCUAACACUUGGAAAGACCCAGAGGAGUUUUUACCAGAGAGGUUCUUAGAUAGUACAACAGAUUUUCGAGGGCAAGAUUUUGAGUUCAUUCCAUUUGGUGCUGGACGUAGAAUUUGCCCUGGUAUCCUUAUGGCAAUUGCUUCAUUGGAUCUUAUUCUAGCCAAUCUUCUCAGGUCAUUUGAUUGGGAAUUACCACCCGGAAUAAGAAAGGAAGAUAUUGAUACUGAAGUGUUGCCAGGAAUUACUCAGCAUAAGAAGAAUCCUCUCUAUGUUUUGGCUAAGUUUCGAGUCUAAAAGUUUGAUUAAUAAAAUGUGUGCAAUAUUAUGUUUUGUUGUUGUUUUGUGUCUUUAGCUGCAUGGGGAUAAUAUUGUGUUCAAUCCCUAUUCCAGAAUAUCUUUUUAUUGUAUAAUUAAAUUUAGAUAUUGAUUUUGGUUGUAUGUACAAUGAGAUGAGAAAUGUGUCCCUCUUUGUAUUUUGUAUGAAUGGCCAAUGAAUAUCAUAAAAUUAUUGAAGUAAUACUAAUGAACCUAGUGAUAUGUAACAAUGGAGGAAUUGAUGUACUUGUGUUGGUAUUAUAGGUCGAUAAAAAAAACAUUUAUGUAUGUUCAUGAGAUUAAGACAAAAGAUUCACUUAAUAAAGUUAAAACUUACUUUUUCUUUUAAAAGAAAAUUACUUAGUAUAAUUGCUAAAUAAAGAAUUAUCCUAAGAAAACUCCUAAAUUUACUAAAUAGGUACCGUAUAAUAUAAAGAAAGUAUAAGAUGAUUGGGGACUAGACUAAAAUCUAUAGAAUUGAUCAUCAAAAGAAAAUAAUGAAAAAUAGUUCUUAUUAUAUUGUACGGUUCCGAGGGGUCUCAAUCAAGACUUUGGUUAAAUAUUUUUCGAAUAACGUGACUGAUAUAGUCCUUAUAAAUGCCAUAAACAUCUUUUAAUACAAAUGAUUAACGUAAUUACUGUACAAAAUUUUAUCUAAAAUUUUAAAGUUAACUCAAUAAUAUACCUUAAUUUUGGUCUAGUGUCUGGCCAUCACAAUCAUGUAAAUCAGCACACCAACCAAGACAAUAUUCCACUCAACUAUCGCAUAUUGAAUACUGACUUAGACAUCAGAGUAUCUUUUACAGAUAUACCACCUACAGCGAUCGAAGAUCGAAGACCAUACGAUAUCCUUAACUAGAAUUAACAACAAUUUAAAAAGCUUAAUGAAGAAUUGAGAUAUUUUCAGUCCUUUUGUAAGUACACUUAUUUUUUAAGAAAUUAUAAUUGUUGAAGUAUGUGCUUCGAGAGUGAUCUCAAUAAAAAAAAAAUGCUCUUAAAACCUCUAAGAAAGUCAUGGUAUUAUUAUGAAAAUACAACCACAAUAGAGCCUGGUUAUCACUUAACUUUCUCAGUUUUUUUAUUAGCAAAAAAGGACCAUUUCAGGAGUUAAGACUUUCUAAGUGUUGCAUUUAAUUCAUGAAAUAUGGAGAAAGAUCUAUCCAGUUAACUUUAAUGAACACAAAAUAGGAAAAUGGUUAAAAGUUAUAUUAAAAAAUGUAUCAUGGAAGAGGAUUCAUUAAUUUUUUAGAUUUUUCCAAGGAAACUUAUCUUCUGGAAAAAAUAAAACUUCAUACAAGAAUGAUGAGAUGUAAUUUAUUUAUUUUUAAAUGUUUUAUGUAUAUUUGUCCAUUAAAUAGUUUAUGUAUAGAUUUUAUAAAGUGAAAGUAAGACGCAUAAGAAUUUAUUUCAGAUUUUAAAUUUUAAAUAUCAUGUGAAAAUUAAAAUAAUUUUUUAAUUGAAUAUUAUUUUCUUAAAUUUAAUUAAUUGUUUAUUCUAUAAGUUUAAAAUUUUGUUUCUAUAAAGCAAAAAUGUUCAUAUUCAUGUGUUAUUAUAUAUUUAGUUAAAAGGUUGUAUAUUAUUCUUUAUACUUCAAUGAAAAAUAAUCAUUUUCAUUUUCUGUAUUUUCAUAAUUUCAAUGGUUGUAAAAUAAAGCUACUAAAAAAUAUUUUAAAAAAAGGGAUAAAAACACAUUUAAAACGAUAUAAUUAUUAUAAUAAAAGUAUAUAAUUUAUCAUAAUAAUUUAAAUAUUUAUAUAUAAUCAAUAAUUCUGCAUUUUAAUUCAUUUCACUUUUAUUUCUCUUUGCUAAAUUAACUCAUCGAGCAUCCACGUUUGUCACCAUAGUUGUCUCGUCCUAUAGUUCAAUUAGUGAGGUGAUAAAAACCAUAUUAAAGGACAAUUUCACUUAAGAUGAAAUAACCUUACAAAAAUGUAAUACUCAAUUAUGAACUCUUAACCAUAGACUUCAAAAUAUAAUUACAACACAAUACAAAAAAAAACAUAUAAAAAAUUAAAGCUCAUAGAACUCACCUUUAACAGCAAAUGGUGGUUAAAGAUCCAACACCACCAAAAUCAAAGGGAGAGAGAUCUCCAAACCUCAAAAGAAGGAACAAUAAGAUGAGCUUUUUAUAAGACACCCAAAGAAGAACACAAGAUUUUACAGUAACAACAUACAAUAGAACAUGAGUAGAGAUUUAGCACCAACGUUCAAUCCCAACAUGGAAUUCUCCUAAAGACUUUUUUUCAAUAUGCUUGUAGGUUUCAAUGCGUCUUGAUCUUUAGCUCAUCUUUAAAAUCAUUAUGUAUAUGUAAAUCUUCAAUCAUUAAGGCUUGAUAUUGUUUUCCUUACUAAAUGUGUGAAUCACAUGUUGUAGCUUCUUCAUUUUAAACGCUCUUAAAGGAAACUUUUCCAAAUCUUUGCCAAAUUUAUGUUGUAGUGACACCUAUUGUGUUUUGGAGAUUUUCCUCGUUUUUCUAAAGGAGUCUUCGUAUGUGCAUUCAAGGUUCUAGACUAAUGGAUCCAUCUCAAGGUUCGAUGACGAUGAUGAUGUAACAAUUUUGCAUUUGGUAAGUACCAUAAAGCUUUGUGGCUUAAGAAUAAUUUUACCCAGACCCUACGGUGGGAACCAAAUGUUCUUACCAGGAAGAACCAUUCUCUCAAGGUAGAAAGAGUGAUACUUUGAGAAAAUUGAGCUUAAUUCUUCGAGGAAGGGUCACCAAGUUGUUAAUGAAGAUUGAAAGGAGAUUCACCUGUAAAAGAUUGUCGUUCAAGUCAGUAAAAACUAGAAAAGUUGUUGAAUAUAUGAAAAUAUGAAUGUUUGAAUAAAAAAAAUUGUAUAUACAUAUAAAUAUUCAAAUUAUAAAUAAUAUAAAUUAUCUUCACGAAUGUUCAAAUAUCUAUGAGGCAAGUAGUACAAUAUAAUUUCAUGCCCCACCAUUGUAACAGUACAUUAUUAUGAAAUAUUGAGAAAUUAUCUUUUAUUAUUUUAUAAAAAAAUAAAACUUAAACAGAACAUAAAUAUGAUUAAUAUUACGAAGUGGACUUUAAGCCUAACUCAAUCCCAUAAAACCGGCUCAUAGGGUUGAGGUCUGCACCCAUUUAUAUACAAUGAAUUGUCCUUAUCUCUAGUCGAUGUGGGAUCUCCAACACACUCCCUCACGCCGAGAGUGGGAUAACAUAUUAUGGGUGGUGGCCUGAUAAACCCAACAAAUACUCGCUAGGAUAGGAUCGAAAUGGCUCUGAUAUCAUAUUAAAGAGUGGACUUUAAGCCUAACUCAACCCCAUAAAACCGGCUCAAUGAGGUGAGGAUUGCACCCACUUAUAUACUAUGAAAGGCUCUAAUAUCUAGUCGAUGUGGGAUCUCCAACACCCCCCCCUCACGCUGAGAGUGAUAGAUAGGAGUUCGUGCGUGGGAUAACAUAUUAUGGGUGUUGGCCUGAUAAACCCAACACUCGCUAGGAUAGGCUCGAAACAAAAACAGUUUUUUACAAAGAUUAAUAAAAACAACUUGAAUCUUCUGAUUUUUAUUAAAUAUACUUUUUUAUUCAUAAUUGUGAUGUUCAAUUUUAUGCUAUUAUUUUAAAUAUUUUUAACUUGUUUAAUUUAAAAAAUAAGUUAAUACAAUUUAUCCUAUCAAAUUCAUGGUAACCUUUAUUGUAAAGUCUAGUAACAUUUUUUUUCAUGCUAGAUGUCAUUUUUGUUAAUAAGUUCACUUUGAGUCAUCAACCUAACAUUCCAAAGAAAGACUCUACAUUAUUUUCAUAUCAAAACACAUAUAUGCAAUAAUCACUCACAGGAUUAUCUAUCCAAAGCAAGACUAAGCAUUAUUUAUACACCAAGACACGUAUAUGUAAUAGAUACUCAAACAAGGAUUAAUUAUAUACAAUAUCAGUAUGUAGUGACCUCUCUCUCAUUGUCUAUAUACUCAAUGGUGACUGAAUUCACAAUAGAGUCUCAAUAUUUGGACAACUCAUACCAACAUCAUUUUUCUUCACAAUAUCAUAGCUUCAAAAGAGGCCUUUUUCGGAGAAAAAAAAAUCUGAAAAAUCAUAAAUAUUUACAGAAACUAAGUACACCAAAAUAUAUACAGUUUAAAGGUAUAUUCCACAAAAAAUCAUCAUACUCCAAAAAAAUAAGCAAAUACCAAACACAAACAAAAUGUAUUACCUUUGGUCACCAAUACCACCACCCAACCACUAUCAAAACAGUCGCACCCACGAUGACGACCAAUCACUGUGGAAAGAUGUGCACCCACCACCACGACCAACCACCUCAAAACAGCCACACCCAUGACGACGACCAACCACCGUGAAAAGAGGCGCACCCACCACGACCACCACCAAUGGUUGAAGAGAAAGCUUGAGGAGAAGGUGUAAGAGGAUGUGGAGGAGAAGAGGGAAAACGACAACGAACUCAAAAAGAAAGUGAAAGAGGUGCAACCCCAAUUUCUAACCUAAUUUCACAAUGCGACCAAGAGACUCAAAUAUUAUAUUUUCAGAAAUUUUAUUGGGUCCCACAACAGAAAUAAAAUAUUAUUAUCUUUGUCACAUCAACAGUUGUAUGUUGGAGCAAUGCAUUUGUGGUUGUUCAACCAUCAUUCUUCAAUUAAAAGUUGCAUUCUCAGAGUUCCAAAUCUAUUCCCAGUCCAGCAGAAAAAUUUAACUUUUAGAAAAAUAAAAUAAAGCUCUUGUGUACACUGCUUGGAGUUCAUGUUUACCUAGCUUGUUAAAACUGCUUCUUCCUGUACUUUCAUCACUCCUUCAACCACCUCUAUAAAUUUUUAAAUUCUCAAAAAACUUCUUCACUAAAAAGAUAAAAUAGAAACAAUGUUUUACACUGCGAAUUAUAUAAUCUAGAAGUCAAAAGUUAUAAAUUCUAGAUUAAGUAAUCUAAAACCUAUUUAACAACUCAAAAUACCGGAUUAUGUAAUACAUAACUUAUUUAAGAAAAUAAACUUAUUAGAUUACAUAAUUGGAAUUAAAAAAUUACCACCUUCGAAUUACAUAAUUCGGAACUGUUAAUUUUUAAUUUUUGACUUCCGAAUUACGUAAUCCAGUAAAUUUAUUUACUUAAAUAAGCUCUGGAUUGCGUAAUCCGAUAUUGUAUGUUAUUAAAUAAGUUUCGCAUUAUGUAAUCCAGAAGUUGUAAUUUUUUACUUCCAGAUUACAUAAUCUGAAAGCUGUAAUUUUUUACUUCCAAAUUAUGUAAUCUGAAAUCUGUAAUUUUUUUACUUCCGAAUUACGUAAUUCAUAGUAUAAAACAUUACUUUUAUUUUUUACUGAAGGCUAAUUUUAGAAAUUUACAAAUUUAUGGAGGUGGCUGAAGAAGUGAUGGAAGUGCAGGAAGAAGCAGUCCUUGUAAAAAUUGUACAAAUUUACGCUGUUUCUUUCUGCACCCUAAUAAAUUUCUUCCUACACUCAUCACUUUCAAAGAAGACUGUUUUACCAUUAUGAAAAUGACUUCCAAUCUCAUCAUGUAUAUAUAUAACUAUGUCAACCUCAAUCUUUUUUAAUACUUCCCAGAUAUUUCUCAGCCAAGGUAGUUGAUAAUUUUGGGAUCCUACCUUAGUUUAUGAGGUUGUAGUGUAAUAAUCUAAACCUUCUUACCCUACCAUAUAUAGUACAAUUAGUAUAAGUAUAAUAGAAAAACUUCCUAAAGUACAAAAGAGAAGUAAAAAAACUAAAUUUAGGAAAAAAUAAUUCAUGAUGACCAAAAUGACACAUGUAUUGAUAAGAAAAGGAAUUGUAACUCUCCUUACCAAAUCAUAAAUGAAAUUAUUAACUUCAUUAAAUACUAAAUAGUUAAGUUAGUUUUUUAUGUUCUUUAACUACUUCACUCUAAAAUAUACUACAUGUUUCUAGAUUAUUAUAGAAAACGUUCAUUUUUGUAAGGGAAUUUUAGUAAAAGCAUUUUUAAAAUAUUUGGAUAUUCUUAGAUCAUUAUAGAAAAUCUUUCUUAAAGAGAAUUUCUAUUCCAAUAUAUAACACAAUAUUUUGUUUCAAAACAGAUUUGAACUUUUAUUUUACAAUUAAUCUCUAAACUCCUAAGUUUUCUACUUUUGUUAUUGUCCUCUCAAUGGAAUUUUGUACUUAUUUUACUUUCUAUAGUUUUUCAUUGAGGAAUCUUUUGGAUUUUGGAAUCAUCGUCGACGUCAUACUAGUAAAAUAUUAUUGUGAAAUUGACGUAACAUGGUUAUGCCCCUACAAAAGAUCCUAUAUGAUUCUAACAUGAGGUUCACGAGAGCGUUUUCUUCCACCUCAUUAUAAUAGAAACAACGUUAUCCCCUACAAUGUUGUGCCCUACAAUGUUGUCUCCACUUCUAAUUCUAUGCCUUGCUAUUCCUGUGUUUUUCUCCUUCUUCCUCUGCCGCAAAACCUUGAACAACCCACCAUUUCCACCUGGUCCCAAAGGGCUUCCCAUAAUAGGGAACCUUCAUCAGCUGAAUACUUCUGCUCUUCCUCUUCAGCUAUGGAAAUUCUCAAAAAAAUAUGGCCCAAUAUUUUCCCUCAAAUUAGGUUUAAGGCCAGCCAUUGUUGUUUCCUCUCCUAAACUUGCCGAAGAGGUAAUGAAGGAUUAUGACCUUCAGUUUUGUGGGCGACCUAGAUUAUUUGGCCAACAGAAACUGUCUUAUAAUGGGAUUGACAUUGUCUUUUCCCCAUACAAUAGUUACUGGAGAGAAAUGAGAAAAAUUUGUGUAUUUCAUAUCCUUAGCUCCAUUCGUGUCUCUAACUUUUCCUCAAUAAGACACUUAGAGGUCAAGCAAAUGAUGGGAAAAAUAUCCAUGUAUGCCUCAUCUUCUAAGGUUACCAAUUUGAGUGAUGCACUCAUGUCCCUCACCAGCACUAUCAUAUGUAGAAUUGCCUUUGGGAGAAGGUAUUGUAAGAGACAUGGAGAAUACUACUCUUCACUCUCAAACAAACUCACUUAAUUUUGAUUUCUUAUAUUCUGCAGUUGUGAAAAGUAACAUUUUUCUUCUAAAUUUUAGACUAAAAUGAGUGACAGAUAUACUUUCAAAACUGUUUUCUAAGUACCAAGUUUAAUCAAAUGUUUCACAAUUUUUAGUAUCAUAUGUGUUGUUCCAUUUUCCACCAGGUAUGAAGAUGAAGGAACAGAAAGGAGCAUGUUCCAUAGGCUACUGAAUGAGUGUCAAGCCAUGUUGGCCAUGCUGUUUUUCUCAGAUUAUAUUCCUUUCUUGGGUUGGAUUGAUAAACUCAGAGGACUACGUGGUCGUCUUGAACAGAAUUUCAAGGAGUUGGAUACGUUCUACCAACAAGUCAUUGAUGAACACAUGGAUCCCAACCGAAAGAAACCAGAGAACGAGGAUUUAAUAGAUGUCUUGCUUCAACUCAAAAACCAACGUUCGUUUUCUGUAGAUCUCGAAAAUGAUCAUAUCAAAGCUGUGUUCAUGGUUUGGAGUUCCUUCCCUUUCCUCAUUUAAUUUAUCUACUUGAGAUAGACCAUUUAAUUUAAAUAUUAUGUGUUUAAUUAAAACUUUGUUAGAAGUUAAAAUUUUUACUCCAAAUAGAAUUUUAACUACAAAGUUUAUCCAUAUAAACUUCAAUAUUUUAGUGUUAGCAGAACUAAAAUAUUUUAGUGUUAGGAGAAUUAAGUGAUUUGUUUGGACCCAUAUAAACCUUAUUCAUAGGAUCUCCGAUGACAAAGGUUGGGUUCCAUCACUUGUUUUUUUUUUACAAGUGACUUGACUCUCAUUCCCUUUGAUGUUUCAUGAUUCUUCCUGUGAUUUUGUCAGAGAAUCUAUUAGAUUCAUUUUGACUUAAUAUAAUUAAUGGAAAAUGUUUCACUCUUUAUAAGCUACUUUACCAAAUUAUGUCUCAAAUGUGUAUGUAUGUUCUUUCCAUUCUAAGUUUUGUUUUUAGAUAUAGUUAUUGUUGUUUGACAAUCACAAUGCAUUGAUACAAAUGAUGUUGGUUUCAUUCCUAACGAAAUAUUUGCUACGAAGUUUUUCAACCACUCAACUUAACUUCCAACUAUUUCAAGAACAAAAAACUUUGAUUCCAUUGUUGAUCUUGCAAUAAUUGUUUGCACGACAGAUUUCCAUGUAAUUGCACCACCUCAAGUAUAAACAUAUAACCACAAGUGAAUGUUGUCUCAUCUGAAUCAGAGAUCUAGUUAGCAUCAUUGUAUUGUUUUAGCAAAGGAGGAAAUCCACUAUAUUCAAUGACAUAAUCUAUUGUACCUUUUAAGUAUUUUAUAAGUUUUGCAAGUGCAUCCCAAUGAUCCUAAUUAGGAUAUUAAGUGUACCUACUCAAUCUUUUUACUGCAUACAAUGUCUGGUCUAGAAAAGUUCAUUACAAGCAUUAAGCUCCCAAUUAUUCGGGCAUAUUAAGACUGAGAAAUAGGUUAUCCUAUAUUUUUCUUUAAUUAAGAGUUAACAUCAUAAGAGAUGUUUAUUGAUUUAAAGUCAUAUAAUAGCUAAACUUCCUAAAAAAAAAUUUAGUAUAUUGUUCUUGAAAUAGUAAUAUAUUAUUUUCCUUCCUCAUGACUCUAACUCCUAAAAUCACAUUUGUUUCACCCUUAUCCUUCAUUUAAAACCUCGACUCAAGAAAACUUUUUGUUUUAAAAACUAUAUUAUCGUUUGUACCAAAAGUUAACAUGUCAUCCAUAUAUAAACAUAUAUUAUGAAUUUAAGUUCACUUCUUAAAAAUUGUAGUUAAAUUUAAAAGCUUAUUUAUCAAAAUAACUUGGAUCAAUUAUGAAUUGUUGAUUUCUUUUCUACAGAAUAUGCUUGUAGCAGCAACGGAUACAACUUCUGCUACAACGAUUUGGGCUAUGACCGCACUGCUAAAAAAUCCAAGAGUAAUGAAGAAAGUUCAAGAAGAACUUAGGAAUUUAGGGGGUGAAAAGGAUUUUCUACAUGAAGAUGAUAUUCAAAAGUUUCCCUAUUUCAAGGCUAUGAUAAAAGAGACACUGAGACUGCAUCUACCAGCACCCCUACUUGUGCCAAGGGAAACAAAUGAACCAUGUAUUUUAGAGGGCUAUGAAAUUCCAGCCAAGACAAUAGUGUAUGUGAAUGCUUGGGCUAUCCAUAGAGACCCUAACACUUGGAAAGACCCAGAGGAGUUUUUACCAGAGAGGUUCUUAGAUAGUACAACAGAUUUUCGAGGGCAAGAUUUUGAGUUCAUUCCAUUUGGUGCUG
rnacentral:lncRNA from 1 species